UACUGAGGUCCCAAGCGUUGUUCGGAUUCACUGGACGUAAAGGGUGCGCAGGUGGUCGGGUAAGUCUGACGUGAAAUCCCGCAGCUUAACUGCGGAAUGGCAUUGGAUACUAUUCGGCUAGAGGGUUGGAGGGGGGACUGGAAUUCUCGGUGUAGCAGUGAAAUGCGUAGAUAUCGAGAGGAACACCAGUGGCGAAGGCGAGUCCCUGGACAACUCCUGACGCUGAGGCACGAAAGCUAGGGGAGCAAACAGG
rnacentral:rRNA from 1 species